rnacentral:lncRNA from 1 species
GGAUGCAGUUUUGGGUGUGCUACCUUUGAAUUUCAGAACUUCAAAGAAAUGCAUCCCUGCUUUUAAAUGUGUUGCAAACCUUCCCCCCUACUGUUGUGAGCAGAGAACAAGAAUUGCUCAUAGGAAGAAAAGAAAUGGGAACUGGAUGAGAGAGGACCAGUUGAGAGGCGAGGAACGGGGAAAGAACGAUGCUCCAAGCAUAAAAUCCAAGCUGCUGACCUUGAAGGCUGAAGAUCUCAAAUUUUUAAGCAAGUCCAGAAAUGCAUUCUUAGACUGCAAGGGCAGUCUAAGUCUAAGAACUUCCUGGCAGAAGGCAUGA